UAGUUAGUUAGUUUACUUAACAUCAACUCUGUUUAACCUUAUUAUAAUCUAGUACGUUUAAGUUUCCAUGUUAGUAUGUGUUUAUGUAUGUAUGUUGGCUUAGUAACGCACCGACCAAAGGAUAGGUCUUCCGCUGUUAAUAAUCAAGAUUAAUUAACCUAAUAAAGAUGCUUAGAGGCCGGGGCGUUACAAUAUCACUCUCGAAACCUACUCAUUAUCGGGUUUAAGUUGAAAUUAGAUUCCAUAUGUUUUGUAUGCAGUUAAUUUGGGUCGUAUAAUUUUUAGUUUCGAUUGAAUAUUAGGUUGGACUAAUGGAGUUCAAUUCUUGCAACAAAAAAAUUGUUAGUCUUAUCCGUGAUUUUUUAACUAGGUAGUUAUUUCUUAAAAGUGUAUUUUGUAAGUAGCUUACCAAAAAAAUUCAAUUCAAAAUGAAUAUGACUCAAAAAGUUUCAAAAAUCAAAUAAUUGAUGAUAAGUUGAAAUUAUAAUACUGUAUGAUAAAAUUACAGACCGAAAUGAAUUAUACAUUAGAUGUAAUAAAAAAAAUAUGUUUUUUAGGAAUUGGGGAUGGCUUAAUUUGAAAAAAGAAAAUUCCACUAUCUACGUCGCAUGGUACUCUGGUGCGUUGCAAAAGCACAAUUUACGUCGGACCAUCUGGGCCCAUCCGACGCAUCAGCACAACCCACUUUUUAACUUAAGCCCAACUCAUCCCUUUCUAACAUAAACCUCCCAAUCCUAACCUAAAACUCCCCUUCUCUCUCUCUGAAUGCCGCUCACCUCCCCUUCCUCAAUCUUCCUCCCCUUCUCCUUCUUGUUCUUUGAAACUUCCUUUAAUUUCUUUUCAUCUUUAGGAUUCAACCAUGUCUGAACUCUCACAUGCAGAAGUUUCUACAUUCUUCUUAAGUUCCCCAACCAUCGCUCAAAAAUACAAAUCAAUAAUCUGGCGCAUAAAUCGAGGCUAAAAAAGAUCAAACUCAUUCCUAGAAACCGAAAUCAAAGCAAGAGAAUCGACUGAAAAUCGAGCAAAGAUUUGCUCCAUUUUCAUUCACCGAAGACGAACGCGCAUCGAAGUUCGUCCUUUGCGAGAAGUUGAUUUGCUCCAAUCUAUCUAGUCCGUUCUUUGGAAUUCAUUCAUUGCGAGAAGUAGAGAUCCACAACUUCUAGGUUCGAGAAGUUCGUCCUUUGUUUGUGAAGCUUAUUUUGCCGGCGGUUUUCUCCCCUGAAGGUUGAUGGAAUGGGAAGUAUCACAACACUCCUCAAUUUUCAGAUCUACCCAAAUCCUCCGACAGUGUUGCGAAAUGCCGCUGUAGAUUAAAUUGAACAGCUCCUUGCAUCCUCGGCUUGCCUUCAAGUUCAUGUCAGUUAUAGUUGACUGGGGUUUUUACUGUUGUGUCUAUUAUUCAAUGUUCUGUUUCUCCACUUGCGAUAUUGUGUUGCUCGUUUGGUUGGAGGUUCUGAGGAGAUAUCUAUGGUGAUGAUGGAUUUUUGUUCUUCUCUGUUGCGACUCUGUACUGCUGCAAUUUGUUCUUUGUAGUAUGAUCAGUCUAGUGUGUUGGCCAAUAAAUUCAUUGCGUUUUUUAAUUUGCAUUGUAAAUUUCCCCCUUUCGUUGUCCUUUUCAAUUUCAAGAGUAUUUUGGAAUUUUGAUUCUAUAUAUAAUAAAUCUGUUAUCUA